rnacentral:rRNA from 1 species
AAUGAACGUUGGCGGCGUGGAUUAGGCAUGCAAGUCGAGCGAGAAUCCCGGCUUGCCGGGAGGACAGCGGCGAAAGGGACAGUAAUGUGUAGAUCAUCUGCCCUCAGGAUCGGGAUAGCUGCGGGAAACUGCAGGUAAUACCGAAUAACAUCUCCGGAUCAAAGGUGUGAUUCCGCCUGAGGAUGAGUCUGCAUCCUAUUAGCUAGUUGGCGAGGUAACGGCUCACCAAGGCAUUGAUGGGUAGCGGGUGUGAGAGCACGACCCGCGUCACUGGGACUGAGACACUGCCCAGACACCUACGGGUGGCAG